rnacentral:rRNA from 1 species
GAUGAACGCUAGCGGCAGGCUUAACACAUGCAAGUCGAGGGGCAGCGGGGAGGAAGCUUGCUUUCUCCGCCGGCGACCGGCGCACGGGUGAGUAACACGUAUGCAACCUGCCCGUCUCAGGGGGAUAAUCGUCGGAAACGGCGUCUAAUACCCCGUAUGAAGCUGGACGGCAUCGUCUGGUUUUGAAAGAAUAUCGGAGACGGAUGGGCAUGCGGCGCAUUAGCUAGUUGGCGGGGUAACGGCCCACCAAGGCGACGAUGCGUAGGGGUUCUGAGAGGAAGGUCCCCCACACUGGUACUGAGACACGGACCAG